GGGCGAUUAACUCAGCGGGAGAGUGCUACCUUCACACGGUAGAAGUCGCUGGUUCGAUCCCAGCAUCGCCCACCA
rnacentral:tRNA from 3 species